AGCAGUGUGGCUCAGUGGAAAGAGCAUGGGCUUGGGAGUCACAGGUCAUGGGUUCUAAUCCCAGCUCCGCCA
rfam:Ornithorhynchus anatinus chromosome 7, whole genome shotgun sequence.